rnacentral:rRNA from 1 species
AACGAACGCUGGCGGCAUGCCUAACACAUGCAAGUCGAACGAGACCUUCGGGUCUAUUGGCGCACGGGUUCGUAACGCGUGGGAACCUUCCCUUAUGUUCGGAAUAACUCCCCGAAAGGGGUGCUAAUACCGGAUCAUGUCUUCGGACCAAAGAUUUAUCGCCUUUGGAUGUGCCCGCGUUGGAUUAGCUAGUUGGUAGGGUAAAAGCCUACCAAGGCGACGAUCCAUAGCUGGUCUGAGAGGAUGCUCAGCCACACUGGGACUGGGACACGGCCCAGACUCCUACGGGAGGCAGCAGUGGGGAAUAUUGGACAAUGGGCGAAAGCCUGAUCCAGCAAUGCCGCGUGAGUGAUGAAGGCCUUAGGGUUGUAAAGCUCUUUUACCCGGGAUGAUAAUGACAGUACCGGGAGAAUAAGCUCCGGCUAACUCCGUG